AUCUCCAACCGUCAGUAAGACCUAACACCCGUCCUCUGGUCCCAGGAAAACGACACGGUGCGGUUACCAGGCACAGAAAACGGCCAGGGGACAAGUCCACCAACAGCCUAGCAUUCUGAAUCGCCCUUCUACCAAAGCACAGGCCACCAGGGGACACAUGACAUGUAUUUGCUGGCACACUGAAAGGUCCGGCUUUUAUUUGGACAACUGUAACUGUGGUCGCAUCGGUGGUAGACAGAGUGAGAUACACAGACCUUACUGAACAAAUCAUGAAGAGCAUGGCUCUUGGGAACGUUGAAUUAUACAUUCAGACAUUGGCCUUUGGAGGGAAGUUAUGCAGUCAAACGUGGCCCCCUGGCUCUGGUCUCGAUCUUCUGUGGUCUCUGGUACCAUCUGGAAGUUUCUGUGAGAAAGUCUCAGCAGCAGGGGUAGAAACAACCACACAGAUCGGGCGGAAGUCCCAGGAGAUCACGCAGCCGGCGUUCCCUUAAGCUAGAGGUUUGCCUGCACUCCAACGCUCGCUCUCCAAUCCCAAGAGAGAGCAGACCUCCGGUUCCCCAGAGUCGGGUGGCCUGGUGAUUCAGACGCUCCAGGGCCGUGGACUAACUCCCGUUUUCAGUGACAGCAAGGUCAAAGCCACAGACCACAGCAGAAACAUUCGCUCCUGUGUCUGUGGCUGCGCUGGAGGAAGGCGAGGGGCGGAGCAGGAAGGGGUGGGUGGAGAGGUGGGAAUGUCCACAGUCCUUUCGCUGCUUCCGUUCCUGUCCGAUUAAUUAUAGAGAACCGCAGCAAAGGCUGUGGGGUUAAGGUCAAGUCUGACAGGAAGCUUGGUAUCUGCGUGCGGAAUCCUGAGAGAUUGAAUGAGGCGAUGGGAGACCGGGUCUCUGAAAACGAAACAAAAGUAAUUAAACUAUCUUUUCGUUAAAGAGAGAUUUUUCACCCCUGGUGUUCGAGAGAGCUGCCUCUUUUCUAAGCUCUACCCUGUCUACCAGCCGGAAGGGGGGGAGGGCUUUUCAUUACACUAUUAGAAAAGAUGGUUUCACACGAUUUCUGUUCAGGUAGCAGGAUUCUGAGGCAAGCCCACGCUGUUGGCACCACUUGGCUGCCAACACUGAGGUCUCACACGUCCUGGAGCAAGUUAUGCCGCCAGAGCCUUUCAUCUCCGAGGGAAUGGAAAUGCCUGGGUGAACUCUCUUGUCCCCCCACUGUCACACAUACUUGUUGCCAAUGUGGUUUCCAUCAUGGCUUGACAUCGGAAUACACACUUAAAGUUUAAUACAUAUGAUAUAAAGAAGAUUCAAGCUUUACAUUCUCGCCAUUUCCCCCCCAGUUCUAUUUUCUUCAAUAAUAUCCCCGUAUGGAGCUCACCUCAAGGGGUUGGGUCAUAUGCAGCAUUAGUGAAGACUCCGUACGUUCCAAGGUGGCUGAAGAUGACAGAAACACAAUGAUGAUCUACUAUGAAAUAAAUGCUCACUUUUCCAAACAGCCAGCUCCCAGUGUCUCUAGCAACAACCUUUUUGCCACCUACCCCGAAUUCUAUUUUAAUAAGAAAAGCACAUGGGAAAGCAACUCUCAAGGUCCCGCUCAGAGCUCUGGGUAAUUUGAUUUGCACUUUGUCCUCAGACAUUUUCACGGUACUGGGAAUGGAACCCAGGGCCUCAUGCAUGCUGGACGAGUGCUCAACCACCAAGCCACAUCCCCACCCCAAUACACACCAUUGUUGCUAUUAGUUUCUGUGCAGAAAACCUAAAUUACCCCAUAAAGGGUUGCAGGCUCUUCCUGAUAAGAAGAAACAGUUACAAAAUUCUGAGCCUUGCUAACUGAUCCUUGAGCAAGGGCUUCUACAGAAUGAUAGUACUGCCCCCUACAGUCGGUUUGGGAUUUUCAGUCAGGAAUGUUACAUAGUUCAAAAGCACAAGCUACAAAAGCUUUGUCCUAGAUUCCCUGUGGCUUUGAAUAGCACUAUUCAGACUUAAAGGCUGCCUGGAACUUAAUUACUUCAGAUGAAGAGAGUAAGUGGGCUUUUCAUUUUUUGAAAUGUCAUUGCCUCGGGAAUUGCACCAAUACAGUAUUUUCCCAGGAGCACACUGUCUCUUUCUGAGCCGUCACUCAUGGAGAUUUACAAAACGUCAACGGUCUCCAAGCGUUUACUAGUGUGACCCUACAGCUUUAGCUUUCAUACAUCACUUGGCCAUUUUAUUUUCAUCUUUUAAAUACUGUAAUGAAGGUUUCUAUGGAUUGUUUUUAACCAGUGAGGUAAGGAAACAUGGACCCACAGUAAGACCUCAGAGAGAAAGACCUGAAAAACAGAGGGGAGAGUCCAGGGCCUAAAAAAAUCCCUACAUGUUGAUUUUUAAAACACCAUGUUUGGCUGGUAUAUAUUACCUGUAUGCUUUUUCUCAGGACAGGAAAAACAGGGCAGAAGAUUUAUUACAGAGAGGAGGAAGAUUUGCACACGUUCCUUCUGACACAGCAAGUUAGAAAGACAGACUAACAAAAUUUGUUCUUAGGCUGGAGAGAUGGCUCAGAGGUUAACAGCACUGGCUGCUCUUCCAGAGGUCCUGAGUUCAAUUCCCAGCAACCACAUGGUGGCUCAUAAACUACCUGAAAUGAAAUCUGGUGCCCUCUUCUGGCAUGCAGGUGUACAUGCAAACACAAUUGUAUACACAAUAAAUAAAUCUUACAAAAAAAAA